GGGAAGUUUGCUGAAGAAUUUCAAACUCUCAGAAACAGAAUUACGGAAAAUAUAAGUACUGCUGAAUUCAGUCCAAUAUUUAUCAGUCACCAUUCAGGACACUUUUGAAAAACAGAGUUUGAGUUACAAUUAAACAAAAAUAUUUGUGGAAAAAAAUGAAGUUUGUGAUUAAGAUUCUGCUUCCAAUAACGGUUGUCUUCUUGAAUUGCAAAUGUGCAGAGUUCAUGAAGCCAGUGGAGGGAACUGAGGGAAGAAGUAGCAAUAAUAUCUUUAAUAAUAAUAAUAACACUAAUGAUACUAAUAAUGAUAAUAAUUUUCUGCCGAUUGAACGUCCAUUUAAACCUUUAUCCGGGGACCCUGUUUGUCUACCAUUCGAACCUCUGGAUCUGCCUCAUUCAUCACUCAAACCAAUUGUUGCUCAAACAUCCUCAAAGCCUUCUCGUUCGCCUUCUCGUGGACACCAAGUUUUGAAAAAGGAACAAACUUUCUUUAAAUUUAACAAAACAACACCAAAACAAUAAGGUUUAGUGAGAAAAAAAACAAGACGAAUCGGGAUUUAGUGUUUCCGAGAAUUGACGCUGCACUUCGGGGAUGAGUGACAAGAGCUGCGGGAAUGUGUGGUGUUCACCCAGGCGUGACAAAGCAGAGAGAGAAACCGAACAGAGACAUAAUUGUAACGACACUCUGGAUUUAUGGUCACCUUCAGCCCAAAACCGACACUAAAUCCAGAUUUGACUUUAUUUGUUGAGAUAAAUAUCGUUUAUUGUUAUUUUAAUUA